rnacentral:rRNA from 1 species
GAUGAACGCUGGCGGCGUGCCUAAUACAUGCAAGUCGAACGGUCCGCAAGGAUAGUGGCGAACGGGUGAGUAACGCGUUGGUGACCUGCCCUGAAGAGGGGGAUACCGGAUCGAAAGGUCCGCUAAUACCGCAUAAUGUCUCGCUGGUUAGAGAGGCGAGAAGAAAGCCGAAAGGCGCUUUAGGAGGGACCUGCGUCCCAUCAGCUAGUUGGUAAGGUAGUGGCUUACCAAGGCGAUGACGGGUAGGGGACCUGAGAGGGUGGCCCCCCACACUGGCACUGAAACAACGGGCCGACGACACCUACCGGGUGGGCAG